AGCGCCUCUAGAACAAGCAAUUGGAUAAUAUUGAUCACGAAAUAUGUGAGUAACAGAAUAGGAGGGAGGGAAGUGAAUUCUGGUCCAUUUGAGAGCUUGAGCUGUCGCUGAGAAUGGCGGAACCCUAACAGAAUCGAAUUUAAGAGGAGUAUGAAAACCAUUGUGGAUGACGGAAGCCAGUCCCAUAGAUUUGAGGAAUGAGAAAUGAGAUUUGUGUAGGAGUAAAUGAAAAUUCGACGAAGGAAGAUGGAAGGAAAGCGAGAGGCUUUAAUCUUAUCCUAAGAGCUCUGGUUCGACGAGUAGCAGUUUACAG
rnacentral:misc_RNA from 1 species